UACGAAGGGGGCUAGCGUUGCUCGGAAUCACUGGGCGUAAAGGGUGCGUAGGCGGGUCUUUAAGUCAGGGGUGAAAUCCUGGAGCUCAACUCCAGAACUGCCUUUGAUACUGAAGAUCUUGAGUUCGGGAGAGGUGAGUGGAACUGCGGAGUGUAGAGGUGAAAUUCGUAGAUAUUCGCAAGAACACCAGUGGCGAAGGCGGCUCACUGGCCCGAUACUGACGCUGAGCACGAAAGCG
rnacentral:rRNA from 1 species